CAGUCGCCACGGUAAAACGAAGGGGGCUAGCGUUGUUCGGAUUAACUGGGCGUAAAGGGCGCGUAGGCGGGUUUUUAAGUCAGAGGUGAAAUCCCAAGGCUCAACCUUGGAACUGCCUUUGAUACUGUCGAUCUGGAGUAUGGAAGAGGUGAGUGGAACUGCGAGCGUAGAGGUGAAAUUCGUAGAUAUUCGCAAGAACACCAGUGGCGAAGGCGGCUCACUGGCUCGAAACUGACGCUGAGGCACGAAAGCGUGGGGAGCAAACAGGAUUAGAUACCCCAGUAGUCCCUGUCUCUUAUAC
rnacentral:rRNA from 1 species